AAAUUGAAGAGUUUGAUCAUGGCUCAGAUUGAACGCUGGCGGCAGGCCUAACACAUGCAAGUCGAACGGUAGCACAGAGAGCUUGCUCUCGGGUGACGAGUGGCGGACGGGUGAGUAAUGUCUGGGAAACUGCCUGAUGGAGGGGGAUAACUACUGGAAACGGUAGCUAAUACCGCAUAAUGUCGCAAGACCAAAGAGGGGGACCUUCGGGCCUCUUGCCAUCAGAUGUGCCCAGAUGGGAUUAGCUAGUAGGUGAGGUAACGGCUCACCUAGGCGACGAUCCCUAGCUGGUCUGAGAGGAUGACCAGCCACACUGGAACUGAGACACGGUCCAGACUCCUACGGGAGGCAGCAGUGGGGAAUAUUGCACAAUGGG
rnacentral:rRNA from 1 species